rnacentral:rRNA from 1 species
GACNUCGAAUCAGGUAGGAAUACCCGCUGAACUUAAG